rnacentral:rRNA from 1 species
UAGGUGAACNUGCGGAAGGAUCAUUAUUGAAUAAACU